rnacentral:rRNA from 1 species
GACAGAGGGUGCAAACGUUGUUCGGAAUUACUGGGCGUAAAGCGCACGUAGGCGGAUUGUUAAGUCGGGGGUGAAAUCCUGGAGCUCAACUCCAGAACUGCCUUCGAUACUGACGAUCUCGAGUCCGGGAGAGGUGAGUGGAACUCCGAGUGUAGAGGUGAAAUUCGUAGAUAUUCGGAAGAACACCAGUGGCGAAGGCGGCUCACUGGCCCGGUACUGACGCUGAGGUGCGAAAGCGUGGGGAGCAAACAGG